rnacentral:tRNA from 1 species
GGUAGGAUGGCCGAGUGGUCUAAGGCGGUAGAUUCAAGUUACUUUGAAUUUCUUCAGCGGUGAUCGCUGGUGAUCCCUACUUAUCCUGGGUUCGAAUCCCAGUUCUACCA